GGAAUAAAAGUCGUAACAAGGUUUCCGUAGGUGAACCUGCGGAGGGAUCAUUAUCGUAUCUCUGACGUGGCGGGUCGGCCCUGCUCGGGUUCCGAAAGGGCCUUUGCAGCGGGUCGCCCGUCGCGCUCAACCUUCACAAACCCCUGUGCACCUUUACGGCGGAGGGUGGAGGCGAGAGCCCCGUCCGAUGCCGCAUAACACAAACACUAGUUCAAAAAGAAUGAUCAGUGGCCUCUGUGCCGCCUAAAAACAUGACAACUUUCAACAACGGAUCUCUUGGCUCUC
rnacentral:misc_RNA from 1 species